GAUGAACGCUGGCGGCGUGCCUAAUACAUGCAAGUCGAGCGAACGGACGAGAAGCUUGCUUCUCUGAUGUUAGCGGCGGACGGGUGAGUCCCACGUGGAUAACCUACCUAUAAGACUGGGAUAACUUCGGGAAACCGGAGCUACUACCGGAUAAUAUUUUGAACCGCAUGGUUCAAAAGUGAAAGUCGGUCUUGCUGUCACUUAUAGAUGGAUCCGCGCUGCAUUAGCUAGUUGGUAAGGUAACGGCUUACCAAGGCAACGAUGCAUAGCCGACCUGACAGGGGGAGCGGCCACACUGGAACUGAGACACGGUCCAGACUACUAGGGGAGGCAGCAGUAGGGAAUCUUCCGCGAUGGGAGAAAGCCUGACGGAGCAACGCCGCGUGAGAGACGAAGGCCUUCGGAUCGUAAAACUCUUUUAGGAGGUAAGAACAUAUGUGUAAGUAACUGUGCACAUCUUGACGGUACCUAAUCAGAAAGCCACGGCUAACUACGUG
rnacentral:rRNA from 1 species